UCUGUGGCCUCAGGGCUGUCACACCAUUUUGCCCCUGGUCCCCACCCCCGCUGCUCCCUCCUGGGCCUGAGGAUGCUCCUAGGAGCGGGAGAACUUCGGGCCAGUGACGAUGUAAAAGAGGCCGGGGCCUUGCCCUCGGCCCAGCUCUGCACGCAGUGGCCUGUCGUGGGCCUGUCCCGGGACCCAAGCACCCGGGUGGCAUAGAGUGAUCCACCGGCGACCUCCCACCGCUGGGGUCUGGACCGCACUGUCUAGUUUGGGAGACCUGCACCUGAGCGGUGCCUGUGCUCCGUCCUUGACGCCGGGGGUCAUCUCCAGAGAAACAUCUCCCAGCGUUGUCUCUUAUGUUUUGUACAGUAAUGGUGAUAGGAAUUUUUAAGCAUGGGAGCGCAAAACCCCACAUGAUUUCUAAGGAGAGUCCAACAAAAUUUGUGAGGUAUCUUAAAUGCAGAGUGCUCGGAGUUUUCUUUGUAGUCAUGCUGGCUUUGGAGCAACUUUUAAUUAAGAAAGCUUGUAUAACAUCUGAGUUCACCAAUUUGGCUCUGGAGCAUACAGUACUUCUAUCUUUAAUUGAAGCGUGGAAAUGUGAAGCUACUUCAGUGAUUUUAUACUGGAUGUUGACAAAAAAGGAUUGUUGAAGACACACAAGUUGACAAAUGACAUUCAAUUACCAAUGGAAUACCUUUGAAAAAUGCUAACGUGUUUGAAUUAAAAGAGAUUUCAUGUCUAUAUAAAACAAUAUUCUGUUACCAAGAAGUUUUUCCUUAAUUGUUUCAGAUAGUUUGGCAUUCUCUACUUUACCUGACCUCUCAUCUUUGCUCUCAAAACACAGUAUUUGAAGUGAUUUUAGACCUGAAAUCAGUGGUAGCCAUACAGACACAUGUUGAACUAGUAGAGAUUGUAUAAUAUGAAAGAUGAAUUAAUUUCUCUUCCUAGAGUUUAUGUCCUGGAAGGCAGACACAUUCAAGAGCCGAGUCGCUGACACACAGUGGUAUUGUUCUGUCUUAGGCUUUUUAAACAAUUCAAACUCCUAAAUUGCUACACCUUCCACUUUUAGUAGGUGCUUUGCUCUGUAAUUUGAACCUCAACAGGUUUCUAAAAAUGUGGACAUUAUUAUAUGAUUAGUAUACAGAGAACUUUGACUUUGAAAAUUCAGCUAGGAACUGGUAAGCAGACGUGGGUUAAAAUUAGCAAAGCUUUUAUGCAUGAGUAGCUUACAGCCCCACAGUAGUGGGAUUUUUCUGGAUUCUCAGAGGAGAUUUGUAAAGAGAAACGGAACAAGAUUUAAAAACUGGUUUUGUACUUUGGGUUUUCAGUCUCGUUUUCAUAAAGGAGUGGAUAAUGGUCUUGAAAUUGUAUAAUUAGCCUUUUCCAAAAGGAGGCAAAGACUUCCAAACGUCAUUGAAACAGUUUUUCAACUUAAUAUUUCAUUCCAAGUCAAAUGCAUAGUUUUAUUUGGCAUGUACAUAAUACCUGUAAAUGCAGCUGAUACUUUAAUAAUCUUAGCUUGAUAACAUUUUGAGUAGUUCUUCACUUAACUAAUAAUCUAAAUGUUUAUAUGUGAUCAUGGAACAUUCAUUUAACUAUGUAAAAUCAGAGAAGCACUUUGUUUUAAAGUUAAUAAAUUGAAAAUGGGUCAGAAAA